GACGAACGCUGGCGGUGGGCUUAACACAUGCAAGUCGAACGGCAAGACCCUGCUAUCUUGCUCUGCCCGAUUGCCGAAGGGGUGCGUAAGACGUGAGUAACCUGCCCUUGACUUUGGGAGAACUUCAGGAAACGGGGGCUAAUACCAGAUAGGAGCUCCCGCUGCAUUGUGGGGGUGGGAAAGUUUCAGCGGUUGGGGAUGGACUCGCGGCUUAAGAGCUAGUUGGUGGGGGAGUGGCUUACCCAGCCUGGGGCCGGUAGGCGGCCUGAGAGGGUGAACGGGCACAUUGCUACUGCGAUACGGACCAGACUGGUACGGUAGACAACAGUGGGGAAUAUUGCACAAUGGGCCGAAGUCGGAUGCAGAAGCGCUGCGUUCGUGAUGACGGUCUUCGGGUUGAAAACCGCUUCAGGCUGUGACCAAGCUUGAGUGACGGUAACGGAUAAAUAAGCACCGGCUAACUACGUG
rnacentral:rRNA from 1 species